rnacentral:rRNA from 1 species
UACGAAGGGUGCAAGCGUUGCUCGGAAUUAUUGGGCGUAAAGGGUUGGUAGGUGGUCUUGUUUGUCUAAGGUGAAAUCCCAUGGCUUAACUGUGGAAGUGCCUUGGAAACGGCAAGACUAGAGUCCUAGAGGGGUUUGUGGAAUUCCCGGUGUAGCGGUGAAAUGCGUAGAGAUCGGGAGGAACACCAGCGGCGAAGGCGGCAAACUGGAUAGGUACUGACACUCAACAACGAAAGCGUGGGGAGCAAACAGG